rnacentral:lncRNA from 1 species
AAAACAAGAGGAAGAGAGAAAGAGUUCUCUGUUCACUGACAGAAAGAGGACAGAAUUAAUGACAACAUCGCAUAGAACUCCAAAGGAAAACUCAUGUGAUAAAUAUUCUUAGAGACUAAAAAUGUCAAGCUAUACAAUGAAAAUCUAGAGAUCACCCUGCAAAGCCACUCACUGGUGUACUAAGAUCUUCCAGGAGCUCUUCUGCUGUUUUAAAAAGCUUGAAUUGCUGCCAGACUCACAGCUUCCUGUGCGAUGGUGAUAACAUGUCUGACUUUGUUGCUGGCAGCUGGAGCGAAGGGGAAGACAAUGCCCUUUGACCUGUGAAAAGCAGUAUAAAGCUUAUCAGAUCCUCUCCAGAUAUCACUGAAGGAAAUGGGCUGGAAGAGUUG